rnacentral:rRNA from 1 species
CAGUUGAAAAUGGAGGGGAUGAGCUGUGGAUAGGGGUGAAAGGCCAAUCAAACACCGUGAUAGCUGGUUCUCCCCGAAAUGCAUUUAGGUGCAGCGUUGUGUGGUUCGUGUCGGAGGUAGAGCACUGGAUGGUCUAGGGGGCCUAUCAGCUUACCGAAACCAGCCAAACUCCGAAUGCCGGCACGUGGAGCGCAGCAGUGAGACGGCGGGGGAUAAGCUUCGUCGUCGAGAGGGAAACAGCCCAGAUCAUCAGCUAAGGCCCCUAAGUGAUAGCUAAGUGGAAAAGGAUGUGGAGUUGCGUAGACAACCAGGAGGUUGGCUUGGAAGCAGCCAUCCUUGAAAGAGUGCGUAAUAGCUCACUGGUCAAGUGAUUCCGCGCCGACAAUGUAGCGGGGCUCAAGUUAUCCGCCGAAGCUGUGGCAACUUUUUUUGAGUUGGGUAGGGGAGCGUCGUGUUCGUGGUGAAGCAGCCUGGUGAUGGGUUGUGGAGUGGAUGCGAGUGAGAAUGCAGGCAUGAGUAGCGAAUGACGGGUGGGAAACCCGUCCGCCGAAUAUCCAAGGGUUCCAGGGUCAAGUUAAUCUGCCCUGGGUGAGUCGGGACCUAAGGCGAGGCCGACAGGCGUAGUCGAUGGACGACCAGUUGAUAUUCUGGUACCGGUGUAGCACCGUCCGUGUCGAGGUGUGUGAUGCUAAGCGUGCGAGUGUCCUGGUGAUCCCUUCGGGGUGAUCUUGUGGCGUGAGUGUGUGAACCGAUCAUGUAGUAGACAAGCUGCGGAGGGACACAGUGAGGUAGCUCGUCCCCGGCGAUGGUUGUCCGGGGCUAAAUGUGUGGACUGUCUGGUAGGUAAAUCCGUCAGGCGUUGAGUUGAGGCAUGAUGGCGAGCCAUGUUUGUGUGGUGAGCGAGUGAUCCUGUGCUGUCGAGAAAAGCUUCGUGAGCGAGGUGUGAGCCGCCCGUACCCUAAACCGACACUGGUGGAUUGGUAGAGUAUACCGAGGCGAUCGAGAGAAUCAUGGUGAAGGAACUCGGCAAAAUGCCCCCGUAACUUUGGAAGAAGGGGGACCUGAGCUGUUGCCGCCACGUGCUGGUGGUUGCGGUGAGGGGCGCAGAGAAUUGGGGGAAGCGACUGUUUACCAAAAACACAGGUCCGUGCGAAGUCGUAAGACGAUGUAUACGGACUGACUCCUGCCCGGUGCUGGAAGGUUAAGGGGAACUGUUAGCUUUGGCGACGCGGUGAACUUAAGCCCCAGUAAACGGCGGUGGUAACUAUAACCAUCCUAAGGUAGCGAAAUUCCUUGUCGGGUAAGUUCCGACCUGCACGAAUGGAGU